UGCUGCUAAGACAACUUUCCAGUGUUCAGUUUGUAUAUACUGAAAACAAAUACAGAUGACUGUAAUCAGUUCACUGUUGCCAGCUCCCUGGGACUUUGUGUGGUUUUCAGUUAUAAAUUAGGCUAUAAAAAAAU
rnacentral:snoRNA from 1 species